rnacentral:rRNA from 1 species
AUUGAACGCUGGCGGAAUGCUUUACACAUGCAAGUCGAACGGCAGCACGGGUGCUUGCACCUGGUGGCGAGUGGCGAACGGGUGAGUAAUACAUCGGAACGUACCCAGUCAUGGGGGAUAACUAACCGAAAGGUUAGCUAAUACCGCAUACGCCCUGAGGGGGAAAGCGGGGGACCGUAAGGCCUCGCUUAAUUGGAGCUGCCGAUUUCUGAUUAGCUAGUUGGUGGGGUAACGGCCUAACAAGGCGACGAUCAGUAGCAGGUCUGAGAGGAUGAUGUGACACACUGGAACUGAGACAAGGUCCAGACUCCUACGGGAGGAAGCAGUGGGGAAUGUUGGACAAUGGGCGGAAGCCUGAGCCAGCCAUUCCGAGUGAGUGAAGAAGGACUUAGGGUUGUAAAGCUCUUUAGGCAGGGAAGAAACGGUCUAGGUUAAUACCUUGGGCUAAUGACGGUACCUGAAGAAGAAGCACCGGCUAACUACGUGCCAGCCGCCGCGGUAAAAC